AUUGCAGGCUGCAACCCGCCUGCAUGAAGUUGGAAUCGCUAGUAAUCGCGGAUCAGCAUGCCGCGGUGAAUACGUUCCCGGGCCUUGUACACACCGCCCGUCACACCAUGAGAGUCGGGGACACCCGAAGUCCGUAGUCUAACCGCAAGGGGGACGCGGCCGAAGGUGGAUUCGAUAAUUGGGGUGAAGUCGUAACAAGGUAAC
rnacentral:rRNA from 1 species